rnacentral:rRNA from 1 species
AUUGAACGCUGGCAGCAUGCUUUACACAUGCAAGUCGAACGGCAGCGCGGGCUUCGGCCUGGCGGCGAGUGGCGAACGGGUGAGUAAUGCAUCGGAACGUGCCCAGUAGUGGGGGAUAGCCCGGCGAAAGCCGGAUUAAUACCGCAUACGACCUGCGGGUGAAAGCGGGGGACCGAAAGGCCUCGCGCUAUUGGAGCGGCCGAUGUCGGAUUAGCUAGUUGGUGGGGUAAAGGCUUACCAAGGCGACGAUCCGUAGCUGGUCUGAGAGGACGACCAGCCACACUGGGACUGAGACACGGCCCAGACUCCUACGGGAGGCAGCAGUGGGGAAUUUUGGACAAUGGGGGCAACCCUGAUCCAGCCAUGCCGCGUGCGAGAAGAAGGCCUUCGGGUUGUAAACCGCUUUUGUUCGGGAAGAAAUCCUCUGGGCUAAUACCCCGGGGGGAUGACGGUACCGGAAGAAUAAGCACCGGCUAACUACGUG